AAUUUAAAAAAAAAAAAAACAAGAUUUUAUGGUGCAUUCAUUUGCCUGAAUGUGUGUAUUUGUAAAGAUGUAAAAAUUGCAUUCAUAAUAAUGUUACAGUAUUUCUUUUAAAUUUAUAGGCAGAUGGUAUGGGUAAUACAGACAAAGAAAAUUAUAUUUAAGCUGAUUGACAAAGUUAGAAUUUUUUAUCAUAUUAGGAGCAAUUUUCAAAUAAAAAUCUAUGAAAGCUUUAUUUCUUUUAUAAUUUUUCAUAUAGUUCAAUAGUAGAGAUUAAAUUCUUACAGUCAAAAGUUGAAAAGAAUUACAUGUGUAUGUAAAAUAGCCUAAUGCAAUUUAACAUAUCCUAUUUUUGUUAGAUGCAAGACAGCAUAAAAUGAAAUAAUGGAUACUUUAACGUUGCUUGCUGACAGAGAGCCUAUAUGAGGAGAUUUAACAUUCCUACAUGACUUCUAAAACAUUUACUGAGAAGUAUAAAAAAUGAAUAACUUAUUUCAGCAAUUUCUGCAAGUUUCGAAAGUUGUAAGGGAGUUUAUUUUUCGCUUUAGUGGACUCCACUUUAAUCAAUUAAUAAUUUGAAAUAAAUUAAUGCAUUAUUGUAAAAAACACAAUUAAAGCAUUAAAUAACAGUACCUCUAAAAGACACAGCAAUUUAAGUGUAUUAACACAAACAAAUAUUUAUAGAUGUAUUUUUUAAAGAAAGUAUGAAUCCAAUUUUUGGCUUAUGUACCAGAAAAAAAAAUAGUGUGACCACUCUGUGUUAAUCUCCAUCUUCCACCCACCUCACUGCAGCCUCAGCAAUGAGAAGCCGAUCUGCAGUUUCAGAGGGCAAGCAGCUCCUGAGAUAAUAUUGAUGAAGAUGGGCAAGAUAUUAGCAGCCAAGCACACCAGUUUUCCAGAUCUAUGAUUUGUUUUUCUGCCUGAAGUGUAUCUAGAGAGAGAAAGUUACAGAGGUUUUCUUUCAAAUUUAAUCUGUCAACCAAUUCUGUGGACUCAAACUUCAAAAUGUAUUCAGAAAUUUAACAUUGUUAUCACUUCCAUCUCAUCCAAGUAAACUUCAGCUCUUGACUCUUAGCAGGUCUUUCUGUUUUUGCCUGUAGCAACACUAGAAUCUUCUCUCCACAGAGUAGCCAAAGUCAUCUUUACAUAUAUAACUCAUAAUGUUCACUGUAUGAUCCUGGCAAGAGUUGUCUUCUGCCUUUGCGUUAGGAAAGAGUUUUGGAAUAGACUAUAACAGCUUUCAUAAAACCAUAUGUCAUUUUCCUUUUAUAAGUUUUAUUCGGGAUAUUGACUUUGGUUUCUCACUUUAAUUAUCAACACCUUUGAAUUCUUUUGAUUCUCCUCUUUUUGUAUCUACUUUUAUUUUUCCAUGGGAUUGCUUCCUUCUUUCAGUACUCUCAUGUGCUGCAGCAUGAUAGAAUUGGGGAGUGGCCCACAUUCCUUGAAAAAUCCUCAUGGGUGAAUGGAUGACUUGUACUGCUUAGGACCACCACAAGCUGAUUGAAGAGCCCUCGGGGCCUUGAGUGAAGAUUAAUGGUAGCCAGUCAGUACUUUCUGUGGGCCUGGGGCAGUAGUGACCAAAGGGAAAGACUCCUCUUCUUGAGGAAAAGAGAAGGAAGAGUGCAAAUGUCUUUGUCUCACAGCUUGGGUGCCAGCUCAGCCACAGUUAAAUAGGGCACCGCAGUUAAAUAGGUAGAUUCCUGAGGCUCUUCACUUCAGGCCCUGGCUCCUGGAUGGUGUAUCUGGACCCACCCAGGACCAGGGGGGAUCUUGCCACCCUAAAGGAAAGGAACUGAACCUGGAUGGAUUCACCAGCUGUUGAUGGUAGAUCCCCUGGGCAAUAAGUGAACAUAUGUAGUAGCCAGGCAGUGGUCACCCUGGGUCCUGGGCAAAACCCAGUGCUGUGAUGGCUUCAGGUCUCAUUCAGGGCAGUUUCAGUGAUGGUAGCCACAGGGGUGCUUGUUUCACAUCUCCUCCAGCUCCAGGAAGCUCAGCACAGAGAGAGACUCAAUUUGACUGGGGGAAUGUCU
rnacentral:lncRNA from 10 species